CCUACGGGGCUGCAGUGGGGAAUAUUGGACAAUGGGCGAAAGCCUGAUCCAGCCAUGCCGCGUGUGUGAAGAAGGCCUUCGGGUUGUAAAGCACUUUCAGUGGGGAAGAAAGCCUUGGGGCUAAUACCCUCGAGGAAGGACAUCACCCACAGAAGAAGCACCGGCUAACUCCGUGCCAGCAGCCGCGGUAAUACGGAGGGUGCGAGCGUUAAUCGGAAUUACUGGGCGUAAAGCGCGCGUAGGCGGUCUGAUAAGCCGGUUGUGAAAGCCCCGGGCUCAACCUGGGAACGGCAUCCGGAACUGUCAGGCUAGAGUGCAGGAGAGGAAGGUAGAAUUCCCGGUGUAGCGGUGAAAUGCGUAGAGAUCGGGAGGAAUACCAGUGGCGAAGGCGGCCUUCUGGACUGACACUGACGCUGAGGUGCGAAAGCGUGGGUAGCAAACAGGAUUAGAUACCCCAGUAGU
rnacentral:rRNA from 1 species